rnacentral:rRNA from 1 species
CUACGGGAGGCAGCAGUGAGGAAUAUUGGUCAAUGGACGAGAGUCUGAACCAGCCAAGUAGCGUGAAGGAUGACUGCCCUAUGGGUUGUAAACUUCUUUUAUAUGGGAAUAAAACGUUUCACGUGUGGGAUUUUGUAUGUACCAUAUGAAUAAGGAUCGGCUAACUCCGUGCCAGCAGCCGCGGUAAUACGGAGGAUCCGAGCGUUAUCCGGAUUUAUUGGGUUUAAAGGGAGCGUAGGUGGAUUGUUAAGUCAGUUGUGAAAGUUUGCGGCUCAACCGUAAAAUUGCAGUUGAAACUGGCAGUCUUGAGUACAGUAGAGGUGGGCGGAAUUCGUGGUGUAGCGGUGAAAUGCUUAGAUAUCACGAAGAACUCCGAUUGCGAAGGCAGCUCACUGGACUGCAACUGACACUGAGGCUCGAAAGUGUGGGUAUCAAACAGGAUUAGAUACCCUGGUAGUCCACACAGUAAACGAUGAAUACUCGCUGUUUGCGAUAUACGGCAA